AGAGGGAGAGAACCAGAGUUCUCUGACCGAGGCGAACGCGACCCGCGACUGGGUCCGAUUGGAAAUCGCUUCUCCGGUCACCUCUCCGCGGCGGACCACCGGCAACAGCUUCGUCUCGGUGGGGCCUACGUCCCUGUGGUCUCAGAUUGUACAUGCAGCGACUGUGAAGGGAGAAUCGACGGUGAGAGUGUCUGACUGUUCCGGCGAAUUCAAGCGAUUUCCGGCCACCUUCUGGGCCGCAUUCGCUCGGGUUCGACACUGCUGCUUACGCCGGCGACAUUCCUGACGGUUCUCAGUUCGUUUCUGUUUGGUUUCUGGUACGAUUGCUUCUGUAGACGAGGUCUAACCCUGUUUGGAAGUCCAGUUUUCAAGAUUCCUGGGUGAAACGUCAAAGCUUUGGUAUCAGUUCGUCCUCGGGUUUCCAGAAAGCUGAUGCGAGGGAGUUGGAACCCAGACUGCAAAUCGGACUUGUUGAAGGUAAACUCGGAAGUUCUGCUCAAAUCGUUAUCCCUGAAAGCUAAGGGACUAAGUUGGUUAUGCGAUGUUGACUGCAUGAACAGAAUGGGUGUUUGUGUCUUGGUUUGGGUAGAUGAAGUUGUAUGGUUUGGUGAUUUGGGAUUAAUUGUUUCUGGUUUUGCAAGUUAAAGUCUUGUUAGUAUGGGUAAGGCAGGUUAUUCGAAAUGAUUGUGAAAAGUUUGAGAAAUGGGUAAGUUAGGAUCUUGGGUGUCCUUAGUGUUUUGAGUACACCAUAUUUGAGAUUAAAAUUGUGAACUGGGUGUCCAUAGUAAAUUCCAUCGAAUUACUAUGCGACAAAAUGUGAAUUGGAAGUAAAAGACCAAGUGUCGGAUGAAUUGAGAUAAAUCGUUGAAGAAAUCGGAAACAUGA